AAUCAAGAGACAAACACUAAAUUUGACACACACAAAAAAAAAAUUACAAAAUCGUUUUACAUCCGUUUCGGCUGCGAAAGAGAUAAGGAAUUUUCUCAAGAUAUUGGAAAGAAGAUUCGUAGUUUAUAACCUACCCAAAGGGAAAUUUAAACGCAAGAGUUUUUUCAAGGUUAAUUGAAAUUUAAGUUUUCGUUUUGUUCAAGGAGUUCAUAGCCAAUGAACCAAUUCUUAAAAGAUUAAAUCUUUAAUGCUUUAAUGGCCAUUAUAUUAACUUUCCAAAAAAGGAAGUUCUACGGCAACUACUUCCUUGUCCAUUAUCUAUAAAUAAAUUUGUAUUUUUUUUUUGUCUAAAU